rnacentral:tRNA from 1 species
GGGCGCGUAGCUCAGCGGGAGAGCGCUUGCUUCACACGCAAGAGGUCGCAGGUUCGAAACCUGCCGCGCCCA